rnacentral:rRNA from 1 species
AUCGCGGAUCAGCAUGCCGCGGUGAAUACGUUCCCGGGCCUUGUACACACCGCCCGUCACACCAUGAGAGUUUGUAACACCCAAAGCCGGUGGGGUAACCUUUUAGAGCCAGCCGUCUAAGGUGGGACAGAUGAUUAGGGUGAAGUCGUAACAAGGUAGCCGUAGGAGAACCUGCGGCUGGAUCACCUCCUUU